GACGAACGCUGGCGGCGUGCCUAAUACAUGCAAGUAGGACGCAGUUGCGAACGUGUGAGUAACGCGUAGGUAACUACCUAUUAGAGGGGGAUAAAUAUUGGAAACGAUAGCUAAUACCGCAUACUAGUAGAUGGACCUGCGUUGUAUUCGCUAGUAGGUAGGGUAAUGGCCUACCUAGGCAACGAUACAUAGUCGACCUGGGAGGGUGGUCGGGCACACCGGGACUGGAACACGGGCCAGACUCCUGCGGGAGGCAGCAGUAGGGAAUGUUCGGCAAUGGGGGGAACCCUGACCGAGCAACGCCGGGUGAGUGAAGAAGGUUUUCGGAUCGUAAAGCUCUGUUGUGAAGGAAGCGGUACUUAACCAGAAAGGGACGGCUAACUACGUGCCAGCCGCCGCGGUAAUUC
rnacentral:rRNA from 1 species